rnacentral:lncRNA from 1 species
UUUACUCUCCCAUUGCUUUUCCUAGGCAGACGGGCAACCCAAAGGGCAGACUGAGACUAUCUAACUUUGGAAAGAAUGUGGUUUUUUGGGACUCAGAAGGGGGCUGAAUGAACUUAUGGAGAAGAGCAAGGAGCUUGUGUCUCUUGGAGUCCUGAGGGGUCUGGCAGACUGUAGCCCUAACCAGGGCUAUAAUAAUGGCUGGCUUCUUAUGAGACAGAAAACAAAAGCAAAAAGCUUCAUUUGACUCCACUGAGCAGGUCCCAGGGGUCAGGUCAGAUGGUGUCCAGCAGGAUGCCUAGAAUGCUGGAGAGAAGGCAUGAGUAUCAUAACUAGCUAGUACCCUUAUAGCCACAAUCUAAACCCUGGGGAACUAUUCCAGGAAGCCACCAGAGUUGAAUCAGAAGGUCCUAAGCUGAGAAGUGCCAGCCAUAUCUACUCACCUAGUUUGCCUUUGAUUGUCCCUGUAACUCUGAGCUAGUUCUGGGCUGUUUGUGGCUUCUGCAGUUUCAUCUUUAAAGGAAGGACAUCGGAUACAUCUUCAGGCCCUCCCUGGGAUUCUGCCCUAGCCUCUCCUCCUGCAGUGGAUUUCUAACUACUCCAAUCUUAGCUUGCUCUUCUCCAUAAGAUCAUUCUUAUGUAAAGAAGAAGAGGGCUGGAGAGAUGGCUCAGCAGUUAAGAGCACUGACUGCUCUUCCUCAGAGAUCCUGAGUUCAAUUCUCAGCAACCACAUGGUGGCUUACAUCCAUCUGUAAUGGGAUCCGAUGUCCUAUUCUGGUGUGUUUGAUAACAGCUACAGUAUACCC